rnacentral:lncRNA from 1 species
CAUAAGUGGGUAAAUGUUCCUAAGGACAAAGAUAUCUAUAAAUCUGCAGAGUGUACAUCUGUAAGAAUAGAAGACUGAUUCCUCGCUCACAUCCUCACUGAUCUAAUAACUACUCUGGCUUCCAAGAUGCUUCAAAAACUAAACUCAGCAAAAAGUGCAGACCAAAUAUGUGGCAGAAGUUGAACUGAGCUCGUUAAGUUUCAUAUUAUGUAUAUCCUUUAAUAUAGCCUUUUAAUGCCAAUAAGUGUGUCAUGCAUAGAUGAAAUGCUAAACUGUCUUAUGGCUUAGCAGUAUUGGCCUUGGUCUUAGAUGGGUAUUUAAAACUCAGCCUCUCUUAAGACUUUUCUUCUCUGCCAAAACCUGCUUAGUCACCAUCUAGGGUAACCCAAGGUUUUCUUGCUGUCCCCAUACAAAUUCACUUGAGAAGGUAUUCACUGUCCUAGGCAAAGAGCUAAGUAACAAUUAAUCUAUUUCUGAGGAAAAGAACACAUAAGUUAGUCAUAUAGUGCCAGCAUGUCUGAGGAAAAUGCUUUUAAUCAAAUAAUACUGAAAUGUAUAAUAAGAAAUAUGAUGAGAAGAGACUGGGAUUCCACUAAGAUGCUUCCCACCCAUCAAAUUAUUACUAAAAUAUGAUGAUCUACCAAAGUGCUUUAUGCUUCAAUCACAGAAACCAAUUCAAGCUUAGACCCAGACUUAAGGAUGGUCCAAAGAUUAUGCCACUAGCCAUAUGUAAAGUUAAAUAAAAGUACAAAUCCUGUUUCUCAGUUGCAUGAGCUGUUUCCAAUACUCAGUAGUCACAUGUGGCUGAUAGCUACCAUAUUAGUGCAGAUAUAGAACAUUCUGUCAUCACAGAAAGUUCUACUGGGCAGCACUGGUCCAAACCAUGGAAAGCCCCUGUGGUUUACUCCAUUUUUUAAAUUGUUACUGGUCCCAGGGAAGCAUAAAGAAAUAUGAACUUGUGCUGUAACCUCAGAACUACCUUGGACUUCCAGCUGACCCCAAACUGGAUCUGACUCAGGAUAGACCCACAUCAACCAUCAGAGUUUAGGAGGAGGAGGAAGCAAUACUUACCUCAAAUGACAAAGUGAUGCCUGGGAAAGUCCUUUUAAAACUAUGAAGUCCUGUGCAAAAAUAUUCUUUCCAUUUUCCUAAGCAAUUGCCUUCACUUUGUUGUGGGGCUCUCCCUAGAUUAUUAUAUUCAUUGCUGGACUCUAGAGCUUGAGAUAAAUGCAGAAAAUUUGGAGGCAGUUCAGAGGAGACACUCAAAGAUGAUGAAAGGUUUGAGAAAUAAAAUUUUGUGGCUAAAAAAACAGAAGUCAUCCAUCCCGGAAGAAAAUUGUAAGAUUAUCUUCAAGCAUAAGCAUACAUAUUAUAUAGAGGAUUAUGUCCAGCUACUUUGAAAAGCUGCAGACAAAAGAAUUAAAUUAAAUUAAAUUAACAGCAUAAAAGUAAAUUUCCUGAUAAUGAUGGCUGCGCUGAAACAGGCUAUCAAAGAAGUUUAAGAAAUCUUCUCUGGAUGUAUUUGAAAGCAGAAAAGUUUCCACGUAAACAUUUUCCAGUAACGACUCCUUCUGAGGAAAGCAGUCAGAUAUAAUUCAUUAUGUACACAUUCUCAUGUUUUGUAACAUGUGCAUAUCUGGUCCCAGCUGGUAGGCCUAGGGAUUGCUUCUGGCUCCUAUCAUGCCACCUACAGUCAGGCAUGUGGCUACUAUGAGAGCCCUAUUCAACAAAGCUACUGCAUUCUCAGAGUAAUUAUAUUAGAAGAUAAGGUCAUUCUUUCCCCAGAACCCACUUCUCCUUUCCUUAUAACAUAUCUGAUUAUUUUUCUUGUGGUACCAUCCUUCUCCUAUCCUAUACAGUCCUGGUCUGGUUAAUCAGAGCAUCCAUUCUCCCUGGCCACAGUGAUUGGUUCAGAAGUAACAAGUAACCCAAAUCAAUCCAAUACGGCUUGACUCCAGGACUUUUUUGUUGUUGUUGUUCAAACUGUUGGGAGCAGAUAAUCACUCUCUGUGGCAUAUUUGGAAAUAUGAGAUUUAAGCCUGGUUCUAGUGGUCUGGGUUGGGUUGCCAUUACAUGCAGAGUACAACAACAAAGUGAUCCUGUAGGAACUUUAUUAAAUUUAUCCAGAGCAAAAGCAUUGGCUCUCCUGCCAGGAAGCAAGUAGCUAGAGAUGGUGAGCAACCUGCUAAGCCACAGAGCUAGAGAAGAGGAGAGAAGGAAAGAAGGAAAAGAAGGCCACUCUUUGGUACACAGGUUUUCUCAAUUCAUCACCUUCUUUACAGCACCACACUGUCUCUCCUUCAAUGGUCCUUGGCCCUACCACAGUUCUUUGGGACAAAUAAGCAAUCUUCUCCUCCUAAACAGCUUCCUCUGUCCCUAAUUCAGUUAUCACUGCUCCAUGUUUUCCCUCUGCUAAACAUUUACUCAAACUUCUCAACCACUGAUGUCCUCUUUCCUGUUUGUCCUUCGAGGAUUUUUUGGUUUGUUUUUGUGUUGUUGUUGUUUUGAGACGAGUCUCGCUCUGUCUCCCAGGCUGGAGUGCUGUGGCGCAAUCUUGGCUCACCGUAAUCUCUGCCUCCCAAAUUCAAGCCAUUCUCCUGCCUCUGCCUCCCUAGUAGUGGGAUUACAUGCGUGCACCACCACGGCCAGCUAAUUUUUGUAUUUUUAGCAGAGGCGGGGUUUCGCCAUGUUGGCCAGGCUAAUCUCGAACUCCUGGCCUUAAGAGAUCCACCAGCCUCGCCCUCCCAAAGUGCUGGGAUUACAGGUGUGAGCCACUGUGCCGGCCCUUCGAGUAUUUUUGUUGUUGUUGUUUACCAUCAUUUUAGAGUGGUUUCAGGAAGGCAAUAAAUGUUCAUGGUCAAUCCAUCAUGUUUAAAUGACUUUUAUGUUAAGAACAAGCCAAUAUAUCAAGAAGAAUUAAAAUAGAAUGAAGGAGAAAGAAAGAAUCAAAGCAGGACAUAAUGUCUGCUAGCUGUUGUCAUGAACAUAAUUGCAGGAACUAGGAUGCACUUACUCAAGCAGCUCGGGAAACCCAUUAUGCACUCGGAAAUCCUUAGAGUAACAAUGCUUUAGUGAGUCUGGAGACCAAAUCCUGCUGGGUCCAGUCAGACACCCAGUCUGUAGAUGUUUGAAACCGAAAUUUUCCCCUGGUCCAGUGAGGGUGAGAAGUGCUUUAAUUUGGUUGUUUUGUCUUUCUUUUUUUCUACUUUUGGAUUGAUUUCAGGUCUCUUCUCUUAGGCGUUUUGUUUGUUUAACAAAUAUUUACUAAGCAACCAAUAGGCA